CCUAGAGUCAGGACAAAGUGUAAAAGAGCCUCAGCAAAUAUACACAGUUGUAUGCAUGAGAAAUACAUCUCUUCUGUUCUAAACCACUGAGAUACUUGGAGUUGUUUGCUAGCAAACAAAGCCUAAUCUACACUAAUACAAAAAUUGGUACUGGAAGUAGGACACUACUGCAGCAAAAACCUAAAAUAUGUGACAUAUGCAUAUACAUGAAUGUUACAAAUGUUAGUGGUUGGUCGUUAGGCAGCAUCCAUCUUUGAUUCACUUAUGAAUCUCCCAGCAAGUCUAGCUCAGAAAUUUGUGCUCGAUAAAUAUUUCUUAAAUAAGAGAGUCUAUUUAUUAUAAUUCUGUUCUAUUUCUUUAUUUUAGGGGAAAACACUUCUUUCCCAUAUCAGAUGUUUCUUGAAGUGUGAAGUGGGUGCCACUAUCAUAACUCUCAAUACUCUAUUCCAGUGCUACUAGCAAGUUUCCUGAUGUGGCAUUCUGGGAACAAAAUCUACACUUUUCCAGUGACCCCAGGAGAUCCCACAAAAGAGGUGAACAUUGUAUUGGAGAAGUGACCUUAUGAAGGUGGGAGCAGGACUUCCCUGACUGCUGACUUCUUACCCAAGGCAUUCAGUCAUACAGCUUGAAGAACCCACUUAGGGGUGGUAAUUUACCCUCAACCUUCAAUGAUUCCAGAGACUUGGAGAAAGAGGAACAGACCUUCAUCUUAACCCUGAUGUCAUGUAAUUUUGUACAGCACAGGUUUGUUGGGGCCAGGCUCGGGAGGGAAGUGGAUGAGAUAGUAGUCUCCUUAGUAUCAACUUUUCUUUAAUAAGAUCUCAAACUUAGGGGCGCCUGGGUGGCACAGCGGUUAAGCGUCUGCCUUUGGCUCAGGGCGUGAUCCUGGCGUUGUGGGAUCAAGCCCCACAUCAGGCUCCUCCGCUGUGAGCCUGCUUCUUCCUCUCCCACUCCCCCUGCUUGUGUUCCCUCUCUCGCUGGCUGUCUCUAUCUCUGUCGAAUAAAUAAAUAAAAUCUUUAAAAAAAAAAAGAUCUCAAACUUAUAUUUUAAUUCAAAGACAGAUUCUCAAGUGCUGCCUCUAGGUGCCAUGACAUAUGUAGCAGUGAGCUCCUUACCUGUUGCCCAGUGAGUUGGCAGCAUUCCUACUUGUUAUAGCCGAGCCAUCUG
rnacentral:lncRNA from 1 species